GAUUUUAUUUCUUCUUCUUCUCUAGAAACAUCUCUUCUCCAAAUGCGUUAUCUUCUCCAAAUACUCAGAUUCUGAUUCUGAAUCCGUCCCCUUCCUAUCUCUCACAAACCCUAGAAAAUUCUAUCCCCCAAAUUCUCAAAAAGAUCCCAUGGCCGUUCUUAUCCCUCGCUCAGAUCCACCUUCACGGAUCCAUCCCGAACCACCGCAAACCCUAGAAAUCGACCACUUCGAUCGUCUCCCUGACUCAAUCCUCCUCCUAGUUUUUAACAAAAUCGGCGACGUCAAAGCUCUAGGAAGAUGCUGUGUCGUCUCCAGAAGAUUCCAUUCUCUCGUUCCUCAAGUCGAUAACGUCGUUGUUCGUGUUGAUUGCGUUAUCUCCGAUGAUGAUUCGUCGUCUUUGUCUUCUAUCAAAUCUCGCUCCGCUGCUUCUGCUGGAUCGUUCUCUGCUAUAUUUCGUCUUGUUGUCGGCGGCAUUGUGAAGCCGUUACAAGCUUUAGGUCAAUUCCUUGGUACGAAGAGAUCGUCGUGCGGUGGUUCUGGAUCGUCUUCGUUGUCUAUUAGUGGUGAUGAUGAAGGUGGAGAGAUCGAGCAAGGUGGCGUUACGCAUCAUUCUCCUACGCAGGUUUUGAAAAACUUUGAUGAGAUUCGUUACUUGCGUAUUGAGCUUCCUAGUGGUGAAUUAGGGAUUGAUGAUGGGGUUUUGUUGAAAUGGAGAGCUGAAUUUGGUUCUACUCUUGAUAAUUGUGUGAUUCUCGGUGCUUCUUCGGUGAUUCAACCCAAUCCCAUGAGAAUUUCUCAAGCUGUUGAUACUACAAUCGUUGAAGCUUCUGCCUCUGACGAUAACGGGAGUAUACCAGAAUCGUUUUACACUAACGGAGGUUUGAAAUUGCGUGUUGUAUGGACAAUUAGCUCGUUGAUUGCUGCAUCAGCUCGACAUUACUUGCUACAGCCGAUAAUCGCUGAACAUAAGACGCUUGAUAGUUUAGUUCUCACUGACUCUGAUGGGCAAGGUGUGCUUUGUAUGAACAGAGAUCAGCUAGAAGAGCUUAGGGUGAAACCAUUAUCAGCUUCGUCUGCUUCCAAGAGGACACUCGUGCCUGCUCUGAACAUGAGACUUUGGUAUGCUCCAACUUUGGAAUUGCCUGAUGGAACUGUGUUAAAAGGUGCGACUUUAGUGGCUAUAAGACCAAGCGAGUCGAAAAAGGAAGUGUCUGAUAUCUCUUGGGUAUCCUCAGCUUUCGAAGAGCCUUAUGAGACAGCUGCUAAGAUGCUGGUCAAGAGAAGGACUUACUGUCUAGAAAUGAACUCGUUCUAGCUUGAAAGGUUUUAAGUCGGAGUCUGAGGUAAGAUAUGCAGUCAUUUGAGAAUACUAAUCAUCUGUUUAUGAAGUCAUUUGAGGAUAUAGUGUUUUGGUUUUUACUCGUCUUGAAACCAUUCGGAUUUGAAACUUCUGCAUUAAAAAGCUUCUAAGAUGAGUUAAGGGAGUCCGAUGGUGCGAUCUAGAAAUGUUACAUAUAAACUUAUAAUCGAGAAGCAGAGAAAGGAAUAAAGUCGAAGUUUUGAUGAAAUCAAGAAACAAGUUUUGCUGCCAUAGCAUCUGCUAGCUAGUUUUUUUCUUUGAAGCAUAUGCUUUUGCAGGAUCUCGCAAUCAUAUAUAUAUAUGAAUAAUCAACAAAGUAUAGAUAUAUCAUGUAAGAGUUUUUUUUUUCCGUUUUUGUUUUAUAUCUUUCUUAGUUACUUUAAAAAGUCUUCUCCUUUGUUUCCUCUAUUUAUGUGAAUAUUGUAGGUAUUGCUGAUUCACCUGUCAUUUAUAUAAAGUUAUCUACGAUUGUAGCUUUUGGAA